rnacentral:rRNA from 1 species
UACGUAGGGGGCAAGCGUUGUCCGGAAUCACUGGGCGUAAAGCGUGCGUAGGCGGUCUUUCAAGUCCGGGGUGAAAACUCAAGGCUCAACCUUGAGAAUGCCUUGGAAACUGGGGGACUUGAGUACUGGAGAGGCAAGGGGAAUUCCACGUGUAGCGGUGAAAUGCGUAGAGAUGUGGAGGAAUACCAGUGGCGAAGGCGCCUUGCUGGACAGUGACUGACGCUGAGGCACGAAAGCGUGGGGAGCAAACAGG